AAUAGAUACCCGGGUAGUCCACGCCGUAAACGGUGGGCACUAGGUGUGGGCAACAUUCCACGUUGUCCGUGCCGCAGCUAACGCAUUAAGUGCCCCGCCUGGGGAGUACGGCCGCAAGGCUAAAACUCAAAGGAAUUGACGGGGGGCCCGCACAAGCGGCGGAGCAUGUGGCUUAAUUCGACGCAACGCGAAGAACCUUACCAAGGCUUGACAUACACCGGAAAGCAUCAGAGAUGGUGCCCCCCUUGUGGUCGGUGUACAGGUGGUGCAUGGCUGUCGUCAGCUCGUGUCGUGAGAUGUUGGGUUAAGUCCCGCAACGAGCGCAACCCUUGUCCCGUGUUGCCAGCAACUCUUCGGAGGUUUGGGGGACUCACGGGGAGACCGCCGGGGUCAACGUCGGAGGAAGGUGGGGACGACGUCAAGUCAUCAUGCCCCUUAUGUCUUGGGCUGCACACGUGCUACAAUGGCCGGUACAAUGAGCUGCGAUACCGCAAGGUGGAGCGAAUCUCAAAAAGCCGGUCUCAGUUCGGAUUGGGGUCUGCAACUCCG
rnacentral:rRNA from 1 species